rnacentral:lncRNA from 1 species
UAUAUAUUGCUUAAUAAUUUUGAAUUUCAGAUCGGAUCGGAUUAAAAUAUACCAAUCUGAAUCCAGUCUGAAGUCCAAAAUUCGAUCCAAUCCGAAAUUCAAAAUCCAAACUUGAAUGGAUCAGUUCUGAUUUCGGAUAUCCGAUCCAAAUGAAUGGCCCUAUUCAGUGCUAGUAGUAUGGGAAUUUGUCGACGUGUUUCCUUCUGAC